GACCCUAUCAAUAUUGCCUCUGCUUUUGUGAUCAGGGUAGUAGUGCAAUAUUGCUUAUAGGGUCUUUUCUUUU
ncrna:Taeniopygia guttata (zebra finch) microRNA tgu-mir-454 precursor